rnacentral:rRNA from 1 species
UAGGGAAUCUUCCACAAUGGACGCAAGUCUGAUGGAGCAACGCCGCGUGAGUGAAGAAGGUUUUCGGAUCGUAAAGCUCUGUUGUUGGUGAAGAAGGAUAGAGGUAGUAACUGGCCUUUAUUUGACGGUAAUCAACCAAAAAGUCACGGCUAACUACGUGCCAGCAGCCGCGGUAAUACGUAGGUGGCAAGCGUUGUCCGGAUUUAUUGGGCGUAAAGCGAGCGCAGGCGGAAGAAUAAGUCUGAUGUGAAAGCCCUCGGCUUAACCGAGGAACUGCAUCGGAAACUGUUUUUCUUGAGUGCAGAAGAGGAGAGUGGAAUUCCAUGUGUAGCGGUGGAAUGCGUAGAUAUAUGGAAGAACACCAGUGGCGAAGGCGACUCUCUGGUCUGCAACUGACGCUGAGGCUCGAAAGCAUGGGUAGCGAACAGG